AGAGUUUGACCCUGGCUCAGGACGAACGCUGGCGGCGUGCCUAAUACAUGCAAGUCGAGCGGACAGAUGGGAGCUUGCUCCCUGAUGUUAGCGGCGGACGGGUGAGUAACACGUGGGUAACCUGCCUGUAAGACUGGGAUAACUCCGGGAAACCGGGGCUAAUACCGGAUGGUUGUUUGAACCGCAUGGUUCAAACAUAAAAGGUGGCUUCGGCUACCACUUACAGAUGGACCCGCGGCGCAUUAGCUAGUUGGUGAGGUAACGGCUCACCAAGGCGACGAUGCGUAGCCGACCUGAGAGGGUGAUCGGCCACACUGGGACUGAGACACGGCCCAGACUCCUACGGGAGGCAGCAGUAGGGAAUCUUCCGCAAUGGACGAAAGUCUGACGGAGCAACGCCGCGUGAGUGAUGAAGGUUUUCGGAUCGUAAAGCUCUGUUGUUAGGGAAGAACAAGUACCGUUCGAAUAGGGCGGUACCUUGACGGUACCUAACCAGAAAGCCACGGCUAACUACGUGCCAGCAGCCGCGGUAAUACGUAGGUGGCAAGCGUUGUCCGGAAUUAUUGGGCGUAAAGGGCUCGCAGGCGGUUUCUUAAGUCUGAUGUGAAAGCCCCCGGCUCAACCGGGGAGGGUCAUUGGAAACUGGGGAACUUGAGUGCAGAAGAGGAGAGUGGAAUUCCACGUGUAGCGGUGAAAUGCGUAGAGAUGUGGAGGAACACCAGUGGCGAAGGCGACUCUCUGGUCUGUAACUGACGCUGAGGAGCGAAAGCGUGGGGAGCGAACAGGAUUAGAUACCCUGGUAGUCCACGCCGUAAACGAUGAGUGCUAAGUGUUAGGGGGUUUCCGCCCCUUAGUGCUGCAGCUAACGCAUUAAGCACUCCGCCUGGGGAGUACGGUCGCAAGACUGAAACUCAAAGGAAUUGACGGGGGCCCGCACUAGCGGUGGAGCAUGUGGUUUAAUUCGAAGCAACGCGAAGAACCUUACCAGGUCUUGACAUCCUCUGACAAUCCUAGAGAUAGGACGUCCCCUUCGGGGGCAGAGUGACAGGUGGUGCAUGGUUGUCGUCAGCUCGUGUCGUGAGAUGUUGGGUUAAGUCCCGCAACGAGCGCAACCCUUGAUCUUAGUUGCCAGCAUUCAGUUGGGCACUCUAAGGUGACUGCCGGUGACAAACCGGAGGAAGGUGGGGAUGACGUCAAAUCAUCAUGCCCCUUAUGACCUGGGCUACACACGUGCUACAAUGGACAGAACAAAGGGCAGCGAAACCGCGAGGUUAAGCCAAUCCCACAAAUCUGUUCUCAGUUCGGAUCGCAGUCUGCAACUCGACUGCGUGAAGCUGGAAUCGCUAGUAAUCGCGGAUCAGCAAGCCGCGGUGAAUACGUUCCCGGGCCUUGUACACACCGCCCGUCACACCACGAGAGUUUGUAACACCCGAAGUCGGUGAGGUAACCUUUUAGGAGCCAGCCGCCGAAGGUGGGACAGAUGAUUGGGGUGAAGUCGCAACAAGGUA
rnacentral:rRNA from 1 species